rnacentral:lncRNA from 1 species
AUACAUAUCUACCUCCAUCACUCCAGUAUCCCUGCACAUUUAAAUAUGGUAUUGGAUCUGACUUUUUAAAUAUUUCCUGUAUAUAGUAUACUUACUUUAUUGUGUAUUUCAUUUACUUAUUCUUAUUUCUUGUGUGUUUUGUCUAGUAUUACAUUGUUUUUGAUUAUUGCACUGUUGGGUUUUGAAUUUGCAAGAAAGGCAUUUGACUGUUCUGUGUUGUAACAUAAAAAAACUUGGUGGAGAAAUAAACAUUCAAUAAACAUUCAAUUUUCUGGCAACAGCUCUGGUGGACAUUCCAGAGGUCAGGAUGCCAAUCGCACGCUCCCUCAAAACUUGAGAGAUCUUUGGUAUUAUGUUGUGUGUCAAAACUGCACAUUUUAGAGUGGCCUUUUAUGUCCCCAGCACAAGGCACAGCUGUGUAAUGAUCAUGCUGUUUAAUCAGCUUCUUGAUAUGCCACACCUAUCAGGUGGAUGGAUUAUCUUGGCAAAGGAUAAAUGCUCACUAACAGGGAUGUAAACCAAUUUGUGCAUAGAAUUUGAGAGAAAUAAGGUCUUUGUGCGAUUGGUAAAUUUCUGUGAUCUUUUAUUUCAGCUCAUGAAACAUAGGACCAACACUUUACAUUUAUAUUUUUGUUCAGCGUAGGUCACAUCGAUCACCACCUUUGUGAAGGGGGAGUACCAGAGCCGUCUUCCAAACCUUGGUGAUAGUACCAGAUAUAAUCAGGUUAAAGAUAUGGGUAAAUUAUUCAGCAAGCAGGGGGUGGUGCGGACAGAACAUACUGAUUCACCAGUAGUUGAGAGGUUAACCGUGGAGUCAGCUGGAGGCUGGGAGAGGGAAGAGCAACAAACUGACUGACCAAGGUUAUUUAAACCACCAUUCCUCUCAAAUAAAUAGCCUGACAAAAUAAAAUGAUUAAAAGCAUCCCGUAUCACACUUUUUUCAGUAAUGAUGCCAGUGUCUGACAAAACGUGCGUAGGCAGAGAAGGGGAAGAAUUUGCACACUUCAGGGAAUUCACUGUUUUUAAAAAAUUGGAAGGAGUCAGAUAAAAAGCUGAUUGAUUUUGUUGUCUUAAGCACAGGAGGUUGGUGGCACCUUGGUUGGGGAGGACAGGCUUGUGGUAAUGUCUGGAGAGGAAUGACUGGAAUGGGAUCAAAUACAUUAAACACCUGGUUUCUAUUUGUCUGUUCCAGCCAUUAUUAUGAGCCGUCCUCCCCUCAACAGCCUCCACUGUUCUUAACCCUUUACACUCGUGGGAACUGGCCUACAGUAUAUGGAUAAGGCUAAAUUGAAGUGUGUGUGUGUUUAAAAUGUUUCUUACAGAAGAAAUAUGAAAGUGUAUGCAUAACCAUGGUAGCAAUGGAAAGGGAACAGUUUGGUGAUUAUAGGAACAUUACUAGACUAAAGGUGAGGACACAACAAUUCACCAGACACAAGACUAAAUCCAAACAUUACACUGUCGAUUUUAUGUGCAUUUUACAUUUACUGUACUUGUUGCCGCAUUUGUUUAACGAAAUUAGAAAAUACUCUGGAUACAUUCAGUAACAUGAUACGAAUAUUUCUGGAAAAUGUGUGGUAGGUGCAACAUAAGACAAAGAAAAUGACAAGGGUUUGAGUGAGAGGACUAACUGGUGUCUCCAAGUGGACACACACCUCUGUAAAGUGUACACAGUUCUCUAAGUCAUUUCAAUGCACUUCUAUGACUCAAAGAAGAGUCUUCAGCUAACUAUAAGGUACUUUUUUGAGCUCUCUGAACUGUGCCAUUGAGGAUGUAGUGCAAGUACGCUUGUAGUUGUGGUGUUUGGAACACAACCUUGCAUCCCCGCCAUCACACAAUUACUGUUGUUGUUUACGCAAUCCAGAAACGGUCCAUUAUAAAUCAGGGUCAGGUGUGCAUCGUUUGAAAGCCUGUUCUAUUACCAACAUGACUAGCUAAGUUAUAAAAUAGGAUAGUACAGUGUCAGGCUUUCACAAUGCAAUUCAGGGAAAUUGAUCAUCAUUUUGGAGCGGAUAGAAAGGAGUCAUCAGUCCACUCUGGUACGUGUUUCGUGGCAAAUUUCCUUCACAAUAGACAAACACAGGCUCAUUCUGUUCAGAACAUCCAGGGUAUGACAUGUCAUCUUGUAACUGUACAUCUAACAGGCUCAUUCUGUUCAGGACAACCCAGGGUAUGACAUGUCAUCUUGUAACUGUACAACUAACAGGCUCAUUCUGUUCAGAACAACCCAGGGUAUGACCAUGUCAUCUUGUAACUGUACAGCUAACAUGCUCAUUCUGUUCAGAACAACCCAGGGUAUGACAUGUCAUCUUGUAACUGUACAACUAACAGACUCAUUCUGUUCAGAACAACCCAGGGUAUGACGACAUGUCAUCUUGUAACUGUACAACUAACAGACUCAUUCUGUUCAGAACAACCCAGGGUAUGACGACAUGUCAUCUUGUAACUGUACAACUAACAGGCUCAUUCUGUUCAGAACAACCCAGGGUAUGACGACAUGUCA